CCCUUCUUUUUCAAGCACCCUGCUGAAACUAUGUGAGUCGAGCCUAAAUGGUUUAACUCUUGUGGCAGUGUAAGCAUGGGCACACCAAAGAAGGAGACUAAAGACACAGAAUUGAAAGUGAGGCUUGGGGGGACCGCUUUCUUAAUGUCCAAUGCUCUUUGUCUCAAGAUUCUAUGCAACACUU